rnacentral:sRNA from 1 species
GCUACAGCUGCUGCAGCAGAUGCUGCUGCUGCUGCGGUAGAUGCUGCUGCUACAGCUGCUGCAGCAGAUGCUGCUGCUACAGCUUCUGCUGCCGCUGCGGCAGCUGCUGUUGCCGCUGCAGUAGAUACUGCUGCUACGCUUACUGCUGCUGCUGCUGCAGCUGCUGCUGCUGCUGCAGCUGCUGCUGCUGUUGCUGCUGCAGCUGCUGUUGCUGCUGCAGCUGC